AUACGGAGGAUCCGAGCGUUAUCCGGAUUUAUUGGGUUUAAAGGGUGCGCAGGCGGCCAUUUAAGUCAGCGGUUAAAUCGUGGGGCUCAACCCCAUUCUGCCGUUGAUACUGGGUGGCUUGAUUGCGGUCGAGGUUGGCGGAAUUCGUUGUGUAGCGGUGAAAUGCAUAGAUAUGACGAAGAACACCGAUUGCGUAGGCAGCUGACCAGAUCGCAAAUGACGCUCAUGCACGAAAGUGCGGGGAUCGGACAGGAUUAGAUACCCUGGUAGUCCGCACAGUAAACGAUGAAUACUUGUUUUCGGCGAUAUAAUGUCGGAGGCAAAGCGAAAGCGAUAAGUAUUCCACCUGGGGAGUACGCCGGCAACGGUGAAACUCAAAUGAAUUGACGGGG
rnacentral:rRNA from 1 species